CGGACACUUAAUAGACACUCAAUGCAAGAAAACACCUAGAUGGGGAUGUCAAGUCUCAUCCAUCAUCAAAAAUGAAGUCAGAAAUCUGAAUGAGAAUCUCGAGGCACUUCCAAGAAUUCCCAAAGAAAUUGUUAUUCUUAGCUUCAGGAUAAAGAUGAGAAAG